AGAGACAUUGAAGUGGAACCUGCAGCAUCCUCUGAGGAAGGCUAAUGUUAGGCAUCCCAACUCAAAGAAUUUAUGACAGAAGUUUUGAAAACAUGGAAGAAAAUCAGGUAUCCGUCUUUUUGGCUAAAUCACUGGAAUUCCUUUGAGUCUUCUUGACUAUCCCAUCUAAAUAAGAGGAGCAUCUCUAAUCAUUUUAGCUUUUCAGUAGUGAGAUGCAGUUCCUCUGCCUGCCUUCCACUUCAAGGGGAGUUUUCAGGUCACUUUUGGAGAAAUUGAACACCUCUGAAAAAAUGUUUUGCAAACAGCAUUUCAGUAAUUAG
rnacentral:lncRNA from 1 species